GGGCGUUCAGUUCGUCGCAUUAGACCCGAAACCGAGUGAUCUAGCC
rnacentral:rRNA from 1 species